GGGUCAGUAGGUUGGUCGUGCCACCGGUACGUACUGGUCUCACUGAUUCCUCCUUCCUGAAGAACCGUAAUGCCAUUAAUUUGGUGUUGCGGGGAAACAGGACUGUUACUUUGAAAAAAUUAGAGUGUUUAUAGCAAGCUAACGCUUGAAUACAUUAGCACGGAAUAAUGAAAUAGGACGAUCGAUCCUAUUUUGUUGGUUUCUAGGAUUGACGUA
rnacentral:rRNA from 1 species